rnacentral:rRNA from 1 species
AACGAACGCUGGCGGCAUGCCUAACACAUGCAAGUCGAACGAGACCUUCGGGUCUAGUGGCGCACGGGUGCGUAACGCGUGGGAACCUGCCCUUGGGUUCGGAAUAACUCCCCGAAAGGGGUGCUAAUACCGGAUAAUGUCUUCGGACCAAAGAUUUAUCGCCUUUGGAUGGGCCCGCGUUGGAUUAGCUAGUCGGUAGGGUAAAAGCCUACCAAGGCGACGAUCCAUAGCUGGUCUGAGAGGAUGAUCAGCCACACUGGGACUGAGACACGGCCCAGACUCCUACGGGAGGCAGCAGUGGGGAAUAUUGGACAAUGGGCGAAAGCCUGAUCCAGCAAUGCCGCGUGAGUGAUGAAGGCCUUAGGGUUGUAAAGCUCUUUUACCCGGGAUGAUAAUGACAGUACCGGGAGAAUAAGCUCCGGCUAACUCCGUG